AAUUUCUAGGUUAAGCUAGAAAGAGCGCACGGAGGAUGCCUAGGCGCCAGGAGCCGACGAAGGACGUGGCGAACAACGAAAUGCCUCGGGGAGCCGUAAGCAGGCUACGAUCCGGGGAUGUCCGAAUGGGGGAACCCACGUGCCGUAAUAGGUACGUACACCCUGCUGAACACAUAGGCAGGGCUGAGGCAGACCAGGGGAACUGAAACAUCUAAGUACCCUGAGGAAGAGAAAACAACAGUGAUUCCGUCAGUAGCGGCGAGCGAACGCGGAUUAGCCCAAACCAGUGAGCGUGCUCACUGGGGUUGUGGGACACUCCACAUGGAGUUACAAAAGGUUAGGCUAGGUGAAGCAGUCUGGAAAGGCUCACCAUAGGGGGUAACAGUCCUGUAGCCGAAAGUCUAACCCCUCCGGAGUGGAUCCCGAGUAGUGCGGGGCACGUGAAACCCCGUAUGAAUCCGGCAGGACCAUCUGCCAAGGCUAAAUACUCCCUGGCGACCGAUAGCGAAGCAGUACCGUGAGGGAAAGGUGAAAAGCACCCCGGGAGGGGAGUGAAAGAGAACCUGAAACCGUGCGCUUACAAGAAGUCAGAGCCCUAUGAUGAAACUUGUUUCAUCACGGGUGAUGGCGUGCCUUUUGUAGAAUGAACCGGCGAGUUACGUUUGGUUGCGAGGUUAAGGUGAGAAGCCGAAGCCGCAGCGAAAGCGAGUCUGAAUAGGGCGAGUAUAGUAACCAGGCGUAGACCCGAAACCGGGUGAUCUACCCCUGUCCAGGGUGAAGGUGAGGUAACACUUACUGGAGGCCCGAACCCACGUACGUUGAAAAGUGCGGGGAUGAGGUGGGGGUAGCGGAGAAAUUCCAAUCGAACUCGGAAAUAGCUGGUUCUCCCCGAAAUAGCUUUAGGGCUAGCCUCGGUUUAGAGUAGCGGAGGUAGAGCACUGAUUGGGUGCGGGGUCCGUCAAGGAUUACCAAGUCUAGUCAAACUCCGAAUGCCGCAUAUUUGAUGACCGGGAGUCAGACGGUGAGUGCUAAGAUCCAUCGUCAAGAGGGAAACAGCCCAGACCAUCCGCUAAGGUCCCGAAGUUUGUGUUAAGUGGGAAAGGAUGUGGAGUUGCACAGACAACCAGGAUGUUGGCUUAGAAGCAGCCACCAUUGAAAGAGUGCGUAAUAGCUCACUGGUCGAGUGACUCUGCGCCGAAAAUGUAACGGGGCUAAACACAGCACCGAAGCGAUGGCUUGCGACGUCUCCACUGCGUCUUUGAACGAAGGGUUUAGACCCGUGGAAUUCGCCAGAAUCAACCAUGAAGGUGGAUGAGGGAUUCUGGCUAAAUGAUUCCCAGGGGCUAAACACCGGACUUCGAAGGUGGAGUGGAGACGUUGCAGGGGUAGGGGAGCGUUCUGUACGGGUGGAAGCUGUACCGUGAGGAGCAGUGGACUGUACAGAAGUGAGAAUGCCGGUAUAAGUAACGAAAAGACAGGUGAGAAUCCUGUCCGCCGAAAGCCUAAGGGUUCCUGAGGAAGGUUCGUCCGCUCAGGGUCAGUCGGGACCUAAGGCGAGGCCGAAAGGCGUAGUCGAAGGACAACAGGUAGACAUUCCUGUACCACCGUAGCCGUUAUGAGUGAUGGGGUGACGCAGGAGGGAAGGACCGCAGACGGAUGGAAGGGUCUGUCCAAGCAGUAAGGCGGGUGCAUAGGCAAAUCCGUGCACUGGUAACGUUGAGCUGUGAUGGGGAGGGGAACUUGAAGUACCCGAAGGGUUUGGCCUCAUACUGCCGAGAAAAGCCUCUAACCAGGCGAAGGUGCCCGUACCGCAAACCGACACAGGUAGGCGAGCAGAGCAUGCUAAGGCGCGCGGAAGAACUCUCGUUAAGGAACUCGGCAAAAUGACCCCGUAACUUCGGGAGAAGGGGUGCCUCGGUAGGGUGAAUAGCCCGAGGGGGCCGCAGUGAAAAGGCCCAAGCGACUGUUUAGCAAAAACACAGGUCUGUGCGAAGCCGCAAGGCGAAGUAUACGGGCUGACGCCUGCCCGGUGCUGGAAGGUUAAGGGGAGAGGUUAGCGUAAGCGAAGCUUUGAACCGAAGCCCCAGUAAACGGCGGCCGUAACUAUAACGGUCCUAAGGUAGCGAAAUUCCUUGUCAGGUAAAUUCUGACCCGCACGAAUGGCGUAACGACUUGGGCGCUGUCUCAACGAGAGAUCCGGUGAAAUUUUAAUACCUGUGAAGAUGCAGGUUACCCGCGACAAGACGGAAAGACCCCAUGGAGCUUUACUGCAGCUUGAUAUUGGACUGGGGUACGACCUGUACAGGAUAGGUGGGAGCCAUGGAAGCCGGUGCGCCAGCAUCGGUGGAGGCGCCGUUGGGAUACCACCCUGGUUGUAUUCGAGUUCUAACCUGGUACCGUAAGCCGGUACAGGGACCGUGUCAGGCAGGCAGUUUGACUGGGGCGGUCGCCUCCUAAAGUGUAACGGAGGCGCCCCAAGGUUCCCUCAGAAUGGUUGGAAAUCAUUCGGAGAGUGCAAAGGCAGAAGGGAGCUUGACUGCGAGACGAACAGGUCGAGCAGGGACGAAAGUCGGGCUUAGUGAUCCGGUGGUUCUGAAUGGAAGGGCCAUCGCUCAACGGAUAAAAGCUACCCUGGGGAUAACAGGCUUAUCUCCCCCAAGAGUCCACAUCGACGGGGAGGUUUGGCACCUCGAUGUCGGCUCAUCGCAUCCUGGGGCUGAAGUAGGUCCCAAGGGUUGGGCUGUUCGCCCAUUAAAGCGGUACGCGAGCUGGGUUCAGAACGUCGUGAGACAGUUCGGUCCCUAUCUGUCGCGGGCGUAGGAAAUUUGAGAGGAGCUGUCCUUAGUACGAGAGGACCGGGAUGGACGUACCGCUGGUGUACCAGUUGUCUCGCCAGAGGCAUGGCUGGGUAGCUAAGUACGGAAGGGAUAAGCGCUGAAAGCAUCUAAGCGUGAAGCCCCCCUCAAGAUGAGAUUUCCCACAUUGGUAAGACCCCUGGUAGACGACCAGGUCGAUAGGUUCGAGGUGGAAGUGCAGCAAUGCAUGCAGCUGACGAAUACUAAUCGGUCGAGGGCUUAACCAAAUUAC
rnacentral:rRNA from 1 species